rnacentral:lncRNA from 1 species
AUGAACACUUCACUGGACACAUUUGUGUACACCUAUUGGCAUUGACAUCAAAGCUUAAUUAUAUUUGCACAUAUUUGUGAUAUUACAAAAUGUGACACAUGAAAUCUUUUCUCACUUUUAGUCCAAAAAUCUAUUUUCAUUUAUAUCCAUCUUUAUCUUAAUUGCCCAACCCAGAUUUUAGAAUAAUCCGAUACAUCUGAAAGAAUAUUUAG